rnacentral:lncRNA from 1 species
UUUCUCAUCAUCUUUUUUAGUCCUUUUCCAAUGAUUCUAUAUUUUAUUAUUUGCAACACAAGAUUGUAACAACAUGGCAGUCUAGCUCACUUAAAGUACCUGAAAAUCCAGGUUUGCUAAAAUGAUAUAGUGUUCCUUCUCAUGGGCACAGUACGGUAUUCAAGAAUCAUUUUCGAAGUUUUCUGAUGCACAGGAUCCCCUUAUAGAAGCAAGUGCAAAGCAUACUUACUCUGAAUAAGCCACAUUUUCGGAGCUUUCUAAUGCACAGGAUCCCCUUGUAGAGGUAAGUGCAGAGCAUACUCACUUUGAAAUAAGCCACUUCCUUGCCUUCCCUAAUUUACUAAAACCAAGACAUAAUAAAGAAAAGGAUUUUCGAGAGAGAAGUAGAAGGAUUUAGAAACUCAUAGUUCUUGAAGAAACUCAAAGGAUUUUUA